rnacentral:rRNA from 1 species
UACGUAGGGUGCGAGCGUUGUCCGGAUUUAUUGGGCGUAAAGAGCUCGUAGGCGGUUUGUCGCGUCGGCCGUGAAAUCUCCACGCUUAACGUGGAGCGUGCGGUCGAUACGGGCAGACUUGAGUUCGGUAGGGGAGACUGGAAUUCCUGGUGUAGCGGUGAAAUGCGCAGAUAUCAGGAGGAACACCGGUGGCGAAGGCGGGUCUCUGGGCCGAUACUGACGCUGAGGAGCGAAAGCCAGGGGAGCGAACGGG